GCAGAUUAAAGGAAAGGAGAACAAGAUGUAAAAGGACCUGAACAAAGCAGUGACAUCAGAGCUGAUGGAGUUUUUAAUGCUACACAUUGGAAGUACUCCAUGUGCAGAAAUCGAUUAAGUUGUUGAAAUGAAAGGCUUUGAAUAAGACUUUACAAUGCCAGAGGAUCACAUAUUGAAAGUUGGAAGGUCCUCUUACAGAUUCAACCACCUACUUUUUCAAGGAAUGUCACACCUGCUCAAGGGUGGGAGAUCACAAAGCCUUGAAGAAUUACAGAGGAUAUAUUCCAUCUGAAGGAAGAAAGAAAGAAAAACAGGGAGAAACCAAAAAGGCAGAGAGAGGGAGGAGGGAUACAUGAAAGAAGAAAGGAAGAACAAUUUUUUAAAGGAUUUAGAGAUACUGUUGAUCUGGGCAACAUUUUUUUUCCCUGCUGUGAUUAUACACCACAGGUGUUUAAUAGUUUAAAAUAUCUUGGUUUUUCCCCAUUGCACUUUGCUCAGUUUCAGGACCCACUUCACUUCUGAUACUUCCUCACAGCUCCUUAGAUUUCCAUGUUGGGAUUAUCAUACCAGGUGGGUCUGGAGAGUGAUGCAAUUGGUUUGGGGAUAUACAAAGAAAUAUUGCAAGAAGCCCCCAGCAUACUGAAUACAUUCCCCAAGGAAGAUGUAUAGAAUGGCAUGGACAAGACUCCCAGAGGAAUGAUGGGAAUUGGGUUAUAAAAUACAUCUUCAGAGAGAGUUCCUAUGUAUAUGAGCUCAGAAAACCCAUAAAGCCCUAAAAUGGGAAAAUACUGCAGUUCUAAUACAACCAAAUAAGCCUAGUUAACAUGAGAGGUUGUGAGCUUCCCUAAAUCAAUUCAAAUGCAUUUAUUAUGUGUUUUUGCUAAGCAGUGGAAACACAAAGACAAAAGUGAAAUCCUCUUGCCCUCAAGAAGCUUAUAAUCUAGUGAAGAAGAAAAUAUAAAUGUAUGUGUGCAUAUACACCCAUAGAAAAGGCAUUAUUUGCAUAUCCCCAUGCUUACAUGCAUAUGUAUUUGCACAUAUAUGUGUUUGUGUAUCUAUGUUAAUCCAAACGUUUUAAUAAAAUUUUAAGUUAU
rnacentral:lncRNA from 1 species